GGGGGGGCAGUCGUAGAGAUAGUAGAUUGUAGCUCUAAAGGUGAAAUAUUAAAUUUCUCCCUCUA
rnacentral:tRNA from 1 species